AUCGCUCCUCGGCCUUUUGGCUAAGAUCAUGUGUAGUAUCUGUUCUUAUCAGCUUAAUAUCUGGCAUGCUGGGCAUUGCUUGGCACCAAUAUUAAACUGAUUUUUGCUUCUCGAGUUUACACCGAAGCUUGCUUCAGUUGACUCACGGAUUUUUCCAAUCUCGAACUACCAUCAUGAUAUGUCUGCUUCAG